CAUUGAAGACCAUUCACCGUUACAGAAUGUAAACUUUAUAUCUAUAAAGAGUAUUUUAAUAUCCAUCAUGUUUGAGCCUGUCGAAUGGAUAUGUGAAGACACGUCAAUUUCCCUAACCCACCAAUCACAGACGGUUGCGUGCGUCAACCCAGCGAAAGGGGGCGGUCUGUUGUCAACAUUUUUGCAGCGCUUCGCAGUGAAGCAGCUGUUAGUGCUACCAUGGCCUCUUCGGGGUUUCGGGGUGAUGUUUCCCAGGUGCGUGGCGGCCGUGACCCGGUCUUCUCUGAGGCCAUCAACCAGAAGAUGCGUGUCGCGGACCGGCUGAGAGUGGGGCCAGGCAUGGGACAGGGAGGGGAAGAGGCGAGGCAGGGGCGUGCUGAGCGUCCCGCUUCCUAUAGCAUGCACAUCCCAGACAGGCUGUCUCUCACAGAUGCCCCGGACAUGAGCCCCCGUCCACUGUUCACGCCAUCCAAGCACAACUCAGCUCUCCCCCUGGGGCUUGCAUGGGAGGCACAGCAGCAAGGUGCCUGGGACAGAGACCCCUACAUGAGGGAACCAGUGCAGAGUCCCCUGCGGAGGUCCUACAGUGACCAGGCUUUUGGCAGGAGUGACACUGACAUCUCCAACUCCAAACAGGCACUGCACACCCCCACCUUUCGCUGCAGUGCAGGACGCCCCCCUAAGUGCUCCUCUGCUGCUGCAAACCCCCUGCCCAUGCCCCUGGGGCUCCCUGCCAUCCCACCCAGCCACCUGUCCCCAACGACCAUGCUACAGGCCGCCAAGGAACUGGGCCAGCAGGCCUCACAGCGCCUCCUACAGACUGUCACACAGAAAUACAGGUUCAGUUAUCCUGAACACCCAACGACUGCUGUGGUUGAGGCACCCCCUGUGUACGUCGAACCAGCCAGGAAAAGGUGA
rnacentral:lncRNA from 8 species